rnacentral:ncRNA from 2 species
GGAGCAGCUUCUGGAGAGUUCGUUUUAACGGCGCCGAAGGAUUCACAAUCUCAGGCAAAAGGACAGGAGAGUAACA